ensembl:lncRNA CDIPTOSP CDIP transferase opposite strand, pseudogene
ACCCUACGUCAUCCUCCCAAGCUUCUCAAGCGUCUGGCGCUUGGGGUCACUGCCCUCAAGGAGGCACCUGGAGGGGGGGAUGGCGUCCACUCCGAUGGGGAAUGAGGGGGAGAAGAAGAGCAGCUGGCCAUCUCAAGCUGCACCCUCCUUGAGAGGAGCAUUCUUCACCAAGACCUGAGGCACAGACACCUGGUGAGUGAGGCUUCAAGGGAGAUGCUCUUUGUCCUGGGAGAGAGAACAUGCCUCAAAACUACUCUUUUGCCACUCGUUAACCACUUCCGUUUGUGGGGACCUCCUGGUCAUGAGCAGCAUCAUCCCGAAGCCUUCAAAGUGUUCUGGAUUCAUCACAGGACCCUCCAGCCUCAGCCAGCAAGGAUACCACCAGGAAUGAAAGUGCUUUAAUAAAGAGACAGGGUGUGCAU